ACCCAAAGGACUUGACGGUGCCCCCAACCCCCUAGAGGAGCCUGUUCUAUAAUCGAUAAUCCCCGAUUCACCCCACCAUUAUUUGCUCUUCAGCCUGUAUACCUCCGUCGUAAGCUUACCAUAUGAAUGACUCACAGCAAGCUCAAUGAUCAACCUAUUAAUACAUUAGGUCAUCAAUACGUCAGGUCAAGGUGCAGCCAAUAUAAUGGAAGCGAUGGGCUACAAUUUCUAACAUAGAACACACAGACUUCCACCUGAAACAGUGGUCACAAAGGCGGAUUUAGAAGUAAGAAGAAAAUAAUGUGUUCUUCUUAAUCGGCACUGGGUCGCGUACAAACCGCCCGUCACCCUCUUCAACA
rnacentral:rRNA from 1 species